rnacentral:rRNA from 1 species
UGACCCGGGCGUAAGGGACCGAAAAUAAGUAGGGAAGCAUGCUUGGAUGGUGGCGAGAAAAGCUUCGUGUAUAUAAGCAGGGUACCCGUACUGCAAACCGACACAGGUAGUCAGGAAGAGGAUUCUAAGGCCAUCGGGAGAAGCGUUGUUAAGGAACUCGGCAAAUUGACCCCGUAACUUCGGAAUAAGGGGUGCUCACGCGAGUGAGCCGCAGUGAAUAGGUCCAGGCAACUGUUUAUCAAAAACACAGCUCUCUGCUAAAUCGUAAGAUGACGUAUAGGGGGUGACACCUGCCCGGUGCUGGAAGGUUAAGAGGAGGGGUGCAAGCUCCGAAUUGAAGCCCCAGUAAACGGCGGCCGUAACUAUAACGGUCCUAAGGUAGCGAAAUUCCUUGUCGGGUAAGUUCCGACCCGCACGAAUGGUGUAAUGAUCUGGAUACUGUCUCAACAACGCACCCGGCGAAAUUGUAGUACCGGUGAAGAUGCCGGUUACCCGCGGCAAGACGGAAAGACCCCAUGGAGCUUCACUGUAGCCUGAUAUUGGGUCUCGGUAUUUUAUGUACAGGAUAGGCGGGAGACUUGGAAACCAGCACGCCAGUGUUGGCGGAGUCACCCUUGGGAUACCGCUCUUAAAGUAUUGAGAUUCUAACCUGCAGCCAUGAAUCUGGCUGGGGGACAUUGUCAGGUGGGCAGUUUGACUGGGGCGGUCGCCUCCAAAAGAGUAACGGAGGCGUUCAAAGGUUCACUCAGCAUGGACGGAAACCAUGCCUUAGAGUGCAAACGCAUAAGUGAGCCUAACUGCGAGACUGACGGGUCGAGCAGUAACGAAAGUUGGAGUUAGUGAUCCGGCGGUAUGUGAGUGGAAAUGCCGUCGCUCAACGGAUAAAAGCUACCCUGGGGAUAACAGGCUGAUCUCCCCCAAGAGUCCACAUCGACGGGGAGGUUUGGCACCUCGAUGUCGGCUCAUCGCAUCCUGGGGCUGAAUUCGGUCCCAAGGGUUUGGCUGUUCGCCAAUUAAAGCGGUACGCGAGCUGGGUUCAGAACGUCGUGAGACAGUUCGGUCCCUAUCUGUCGUGGGCGUAGGAUAUUUGAAAGGAGCUGUCCCUAGUACGAGAGGACCGGGAUGGACGCACCUCUGGUGCACCAGUUGUCACGCCAGUGGCACGGCUGGGCAGCUAAGUGCGGAACGGAUAAACGCUGAAAGCAUCUAAGCGUGAAGCCGACCUUAAGAUAAGAUAUCCGUUCUUCGGAAUAAGACCCCUUGUAGACUACGAGGUUGAUAGGCUUAAAGUGUAAGCAUGGUGACAUGUUUAGCUUGCAAGUACUAAUCGGUCGAUUGCUUUUCCU